ACGGUAACAGGACUUCGGUCGCUGACGAGUGGCGCACGGGUGAGUAACGCGUGGGUUACCUGCCCAUAAGUGGGGAACAACUUGGAGAAAUCCAAGCUAAUACCGCAUAAUACCUUCGGGUUAAAGAGGGGGAUCUUCGGACCUCUCGCUUAUGGAUGGUCCCGCGUCUGAUUAGCUAGUUGGUAGGGUAAUGGCCUACCAAGGCAAUGAUCAGUAGCUGGUCUGAGAGGAUGAUCAGUCACACUGGAACUGAGACACGGUCCAGACUCCUACGGGAGGCAGCAGUGGGGAAUUUUGCACAAUGGGCGAAAGCCUGAUGCAGCGACGCCGCGUGCGGGAAGAAGGCCUUCGGGUUGUAAACCGCUUUCAACAGGGAAGAAGGAAUGAGAGCUAAUACCUCUCUGCCUUGACGGUACCUGUAGAAGAAGCACCGGCUAAUUUCGUGCCAGCAGCCGCGGUAAUACGAAAGGUGCAAGCGUUGUUCGGAUUUACUGGGCGUAAAGAGAUCGUAGGUGGCUUGUUAAGUCGGAUGUGAAAUCCCGGGGCUCAACCCCGGAACUGCAUCCGAUACUGGCAGGCUUGAGUUUGGGAGGGGUAAGCGGAAUUCCGUGUGUAGCAGUGAAAUGCGUAGAUAUACGGAGGAACACCUGAGGCGAAGGCGGCUUACUGGACCAAUACUGACACUGAGGAUCGAAAGCGUGGGUAGCAAACAGGAUUAGAUACCCUGGUAGUCCACGCCCUAAACGAUGUCAACUAGCCGUUGCGGGUAUCGACCCCUGCAGUGGCGCAGCUAACGCGAUAAGUUGACCGCCUGGGGGAGUACGGUCGCAGAUUAAAACUCAAAGGAAUUGACGGGGGCC
rnacentral:rRNA from 1 species